GGUGAACGUCGCCGCCGCCAUCGGUUUUUCCGACCCGAACCGGUAUAAACCGAUUUAACCCGCCCGGUUUUUUUGGUUUCGCGUAAUAGAUCGGUUUUGUUUUAGGGUUCGCUAAUUAGCGAACGUUCACCCGUUCUUCUCUGUUAACGAACAAUUUCGUUCGUUAGUCUUUGUUAGCGGACGUUCCUCUCAUAGAUUUUUCUUUUUAGUUUUAUUUUCGGCUAGGGACCUAUCCAUAAUUACUUUUAUCGCAGAUUAGUCCCUGGUCUUUAAACCUUCGCUACUUUUUGCUCGUUUGUCCAAAUCCAGUGAAACCAACGCCAAAAUCUUCAUUUCCCUCUAUCCAGAUAAUCAACUUAAACAUGAUUUUGAAAAUUUAAAAUUUGGUUUCAAGCAAAUUUGAAUUUGAACUUUUUUUAUCGUAGUUUGAGUUUCGUAACUCCGAUUUGAUUGUUUCUUUUUGCAAAUCAAAGCUCUUCACUUAAACUUUCAGUUUAGAUCUUUUUUCUUGGUUUUACCUUUCAUCUUAUGCUUGAGUGCUUAUGUAUGCUAUUGUUCGUUCAUGAUAGAGUUUUCGAAGUGCGAGGCUUGCUACUAUGAAUCUCUAGGGUUUUCCGAUCGUCAGCAAUGCAAGUAACACUUUGAUCAUAUCCCUUUAUUACCCAGUUUUUAUGCAUUAGUUUCAACCCUCAAACAUUGCAUGAGUAGGAUUUUGAUUAACAUGUGCGUAUUGGGAAGUAGUUGAUGAGGUAGGAACCUAUUGCCUUUUAUCAAACCCUAGGUAGUUACUACGUUAUGCUUAUACUGCUAUGCUAUGCUCGUAGACAUGGUUUGAUUUUGAGAGAAUUCAUGAAAGAUGUGAGAGUUAUUAUUAACUAAGGGUUAACUUAAGGUGACUACUUUAAUACACAUCUGGGUGGAUUGGUUAUGGCAUGUAACAUCCCAAAAUUUUCUAAAUUUUGGAAUGUUAAUAAAUAAGUAAUAUUGUAUGAAUUGCUUCAGUUUUCUCAAGAAUUUAAAACUUUUGAGCCCUUCUUUAAAUGUUUUCAAACCAUGUUAAAUAAGAAUUUGAUAACAUUUUUGUCCAAAAAAAGAAUAUGGUUUGGAAAGUUUAUUCAAGAAUUCAAAGGGCAUUCAAUUCUUUCGGAAUAUCCACAAUCAAAUAUAUGAGUGAGAAUAAAAUGACUUUCUCAAAUGUAGUGGAUGAAUAUUUUAUUUGGAGUUCUUUGAAUUAAUGAGUUUCAUUGAAAUUGGAUCUUAUAUCGAAUUUAAUGCCAAAUAUAAGUUAAUGAGAGGAGAUAAUGUGACUUCUCCAAAAAUAUAUUUGGAAAUAUUUAAUUUGUAAAAUUAUCGUUUUGUGAAUUUGCAAAACUCAAUAUCGAUUUGUUUGAGUAAGUUCAUUUAUGCCAUAAAAAGGUAAUAGUAGUUUGUGCAGAAAAUUAAUUUUAUGAAAUUCUGAAAACUAUUUUUUGUGGACUCUAAAUAAAAUUAUGAUUAACAUACACAUUUUAAUUAUUUAUUUUAGCAAUACUUUUAAUUCCAACAAUUUGUAAUUUCUUUAAAAAUUGUUUUCCGUUUGGGCUAAGGCCAUUUGUUUUUAUGGCGUAGCUGCAGCACAACCCACACUUUUCCCACUAAGGCCCAUCUCACUUUCGUUUAGCGCAAGGCCCAGGCGCUGUCUUCUUGUACCUCUCUUCGUUCAACCUUCAGGAACAGAGAGGAACAAGCAUGGCCUCCUCCUCUUCCUCCCCUCCUCCCAGUUAAUUCCUUGCCCGUUUCACUUCGGCGUCUACACAAAAAAUGCGGAGGACAUUAUUACGAGUCCAUUCAGGGAAUCAAAACUCAACAUUACUGCUUAAAUUCGUCGAAUGGAUCCGUGAAACGUACAUGCACGAACAGCCAUUAUUGGCCGCACUAAAAUCGUCCUGGAUCUCUUCGUAUGGACUUCCCUCGCACCUAUAAAUAUCAUCUCUGGAUACAUCCCACUCCCCUACAUCAUCACGCUCAAAAGCCCUCUCUACUUCGAUCCCUCCUGCGGGCAAUUGCUCGCCGGAAUCCGACAAAGCAUCGAAGUCCGACGACGAUUCCGUCGCGACCGAGCCGGAGCGCGCUGUUUUUCGUCAUCGCAUCCGCCGGAGCUCCGCCCAACUCCGGCGAGACCUCACGGUUGCCCGAGGACAGGGCCGAACCCUCCGUGGUUAUCCUCGAGCUUGCACGGGCCUCCUCUCCCGCGUACGCCGCUUGUACUACGCCGGAGCCCUCACCGACGCCGAACCCGAGCACCGCCGCCGUCUUCUCCAUCGCCGGCGACCUCAAGUCCGAUUGCGACGAGUGCGAAGGUGAAUUCUACGAGGAGGUAGAACCUUGUGACUACGAAACCAAAGAUCUUGACAGAUUAAGAGACGAUAGGGUUAUGGUCUACACUCAACGAGCCCAGUGGCGUUGAUGGAGCCUAACUUAGUGACUACGUAUAAUUCCAUUGUAUUAUCUGCCAGCUUGAGCUGUGCCUAAGCUAUGAUCCAAGGAUAGCACAGUAAGCACACAGACUUGGAUUCUACCAAAUCCGGGUCGUUACAUGGCACCUGGGGGAUCCAGUGUUGUCCAAGGAGAUCCCGGGGUAUCCGUGUGACCAUCCUAUGGUUUGCCACCCGGGCUCAAAGGGAUCAUAAGAUUAUUCAUGCUAGAAACUUCUGUGUGCAGCCACAAGCCAUUAUGGGCUCUAGCAUAGUUGAGUAAGUUGUGGGAAUCCUUUCCAUGAUGGGCUAGCAGAUGCAGGGGAUUGUAGGUGUAUCGGCCUAUGUAUCGGUUAAGGGGACCUCUUCGGAAAGACUGUGUCUCGGUCAUCUGUUUCUCAAACAUCAUGUAGUGCAAGAAAUACAAUGGAGGAGAUCGAGUCUUGUGAGGAAAAGUGUGCAAGCCUCUACAGAGUGUACAAACUAAUCAUAGUUAGCCGUGUCCCCGAUUAUGGACAUCUUGAGUAUCUGGUGUUUGAAUUAUUAUCUUGUUCUCAGCACAUCGCUUAAUUAAUUUGUC
rnacentral:rRNA from 1 species